rnacentral:rRNA from 1 species
UUAAAAUUGUUGCAGUUAAAACGCUCGUAGUUGAAUUUCAAAGAAUCGACAUUUUAAGCAACGCUUCUAGCUUAAUCCACAUAACUGAUACUUCGUAUCGACUUUGUGCGCAUUUUGCUAUUAUGUGUUCUUUUAAUUAAAAUGAUUCUUUUUAAGGACUUUCUUUGCUUCGGCUUGGAAGUCCUUGUUACUUUGAGUAAAUUAGAGUGUUCAAAGCAAACAGAUAUAGCAUUGCGCGUUUGAAUACUACAGCAUGGAAUAACAAAAUUGAACAAGUCAGAAUUUUGUUCUUUUUUCUUAUUUUGGCUUAGUUACGAUUAAUAGGAGUAGCUUGGGGGCAUUUGUAUUCAGAUGUCAGAGGUGAAAUUCUUAGAUUUUCUGGAGACAAACAACUGCGAAAGCAUUUGCCUAAAAUACUUCCAUUAAUCAAGAACGAAAGUUAAGGGAGUGAAGACGAUCAGAUACCGUCGUAAUCUUAACCAUAAACUAUGCCGACUAGGCUUUGGAUGAAAGAUUUUAAAAUAAGAGUUUUCUCUUCGGAGUUUACUCUUAGAUUGCUUCCUUCAGUGCCUUAUGAGAAAUCAAAGUCUUUGGGUUCUGGGGCGAGUAUUCGCGCAAGCGAGAAAGUUAAAAGAAUUGACGGAAGGGCACCACCAGGCGUGGAGCUUGCGGCUUAAUUUGACUCAACACGGGAAAACUCACUAGUUUAAGACAAGAGUAGGAUUGACAGAUUAAUAGCUCUUUCUUGAUUUCUUGGAUGGUGAUGCAUGGCCGUUUUUAGUUCGUGAAUAUGAUUUGUCUGGUUAAUUCCGAUAACGAACGAGAUCUUAACCUGCUAAUUAGCGGCAAAUACGAUAUAUUCUUACGUGGGACUGAAUUCGGUUGAUUUGCUUACUUUGAAGAAAAUAUUGGGGAUACGUAACAGUUUCCCUUUCCCUUUUCUACUUAGUUCGCUUUUCAUACUGUUUCUUUUUCGCGUAAGAAUGUAUUUGCUUGAUUGUAAAGCUUCUUAGAGGAACGAUGUGUGUCUAACACAAGGAAGUUUAAGGCAACAACAGG